GACGAACGCUGGCGGCGUGCUUAACACAUGCAAGUCGCACGAAGUGGCGAACGGGUGAGUAAUACGUGGGUAACCUGCCCUCCUUUUUGGGAUAAGCCUUGGAAACGGGGUCUAAUACCGAAUAAAGGGGGGUGGGCUCGCGGCCUAUCAGCUUGUUGGUGGGGUGAUGGCCUACCAAGGCGGUGACGGGUAGCCGGCCUGAGAGGGUGCCGAGCCACAUAGGCACUGAGAUACGGCCCAGACUCCUCCGGGAGGCAGCAGGGGGGGAUAUUGCACAAUGGGCGAAAGCCUGAUGCAGCGACGCGGAGUGGGGAAUGAAGGAGUUCGGGUUGAAAACCUCUUGCGCUAUAGAACGGGUAGGUGGAGGAGAAGCGCCGGCUAAGUACGUGCCAGCAGCCGCGGUAAUAC
rnacentral:rRNA from 1 species